AGGCUAGAGUCACGCUCGGGUACUGGUUACUGCCUUAGUGUGCCAAAGCCCACCAAAAUAACUACUAACCUUAUUUGCUGGCUCUGGCCCUCAUGGCACAAGCAGUCACCAGGUUAGUGACAUGG